AAAGGACUCCUCUGGAGCCUUGUUCAAACGGUUCGUUCUCCGCUGACGAAGUCCACCAAAAUCCGGAUCAGUUCACCUAUUUACAGACCACAAUGGCCAAGCAGGUUGUCAGGGCCAGUAAGUUCCGCCAUGUCUUUGGCCAAGCUGUGAAAGCUGACCAGUGCUACGAUGACAUCAGGAUCUCUCAGAUGACCUGGGACAGUAACUUCUGCUCUGUCAACCCCAAGUUUGUAGCUGUGAUCGUGGAUGCCAGUGGUGGAGGUGCUUUCAUGGUCCUCCCUCUGAACAAGUCUGGCCGUAUUGACAAGUCAUACCCCACUGUCUGUGGACACACUGGCCCGGUGCUAGAUAUUGAAUGGUGUCCCCACAAUGACAACAUCAUCGCCAGUGGUUCAGAGGACUGCAGUGUUAUGAUUUGGGAAAUUCCAGAUGGAGGUCUAAUAAAGCCCCUGACAGAGCCAGUGGUCAUGCUAGAGGGACAUUCCAAAAGAGUUGGCAUCCUCAGCUGGCACCCUACUGCCCAUAAUGUGCUCCUAAGUGCAGCCUGUGACAAUGUGGUGAUCCUGUGGAACGUGGUGUGUGGAGAGGCAGUGGUGCGGAUCGAGUCCCUGCACCCCGACCUCAUCUACAGUGCGUGCUGGAACCUGGACGGCUCCCAGAUUCUCACCUCCUGCAAAGACAAGAUGGUCCGCAUCUUGGACCCUCGAAAGGGCACUGUCAUUGCUGAGAAGGAAAAGCCCCAUGAAGGCUCACGGCCAGUGAGGGCAGUGUAUGUGUCUGACGGAAAGAUCUUGACCACAGGUUUCAGCCGUAUGAGCGAGAGGCAGGUGGCGCUUUGGGACCCGAAGAACUUUGGUGAGUCCCUGACCCUGCAGGAAUUGGACACAAGCAGCGGGGUGCUCCUGCCUUUCUUUGAUCCUGACACAAGCAUUGUGUACCUCUGUGGCAAGGGUGACUGCAGUAUCCGGUAUUUUGAGGUUACUGAUGAGGCACCCUAUGUUCACUACCUCUCCAUGUACAGCAGCAAGGAGAGCCAAAAGGGCAUGGGCUACAUGCCCAAAAGGGGACUGGAGGUCAACAAGUGUGAAAUUGCCAGGUUCUACAAGCUUCACGAGAGGAAGUGUGAGCCCAUUGUAAUGACUGUUCCCCGCAAGUCUGAUCUCUUUCAAGAGGAUCUGUACCCUGACACAAUAGGUCCAGAGCCUUCAGUGGAGGCCUCUGAUUGGUUUUCAGGUAAAGAAGGCAAGCCAAUUCUAAUCUCUCUGAAAGAUGGAUUUGUGGCAACCAAAACAAAAGAAUUCAAAGUUCACAAGAGCCUGAUGAGUACCACCACUGCUACCUCUGUGCAUCAGCAUGGUGACAGCACGGAAGUGAAUUGUCUGCAGGAAGAGUUGCGGAAGCUAAAGGUAGCAGUGGAACAGUUGACUAAAAGAGUGGAAUCAUUGGAGACCAAGAACUCAUGAAGAAUGGAAUAAAUAUACCUGACAUAAGCAGCUGAAGAUUUAACAUGCAAGAAGCAUCGUUGAAAUGGCUAUAGCAAAGGUGAGCAAAAGUAUUGGAACAUGUGACUGACAGGUGUUUCUUGUUGCCGAGAUGUGUCCUGUUAGACUGUUUGGUUGAACAAUAAAUAGUUCUGAAUGUCUACUCUUGGUUUUAGCCUCGGGUUUUGCCUGUGAAGACUGCAUUUUUGUUAGAAAACUUAAAGAGCAGCAAUAUAGAGGCUAUACCACAAGAUGCCAACAGUAGUUAGAAUGAGUUGGUACUAGAUUCAUCAGUAGUAAGAAUCAUUAGGAUUUACAGCAAUGAGCCACAAAAGUUCUGGAGCAAAGUUUUAUAGACUGAUGAGACCAGAAUGAACCUCUACCAAAGUGAUGGAAAGGCCAAAGUGUGGACAAAUGCAUGGCUGCUUCUGGAGUGGGCUCACUAAUCUUUACUGAUGAUAUAACUCAUGGCAUAUAACUCAUGAGAUGGCAGCAGCAGGAUGAAUUCAAAAGUCUACAAAAACAUUCUGUCUGUCAACUUACAGAGAAAUGCGUCCAAACUAAUUGGGAGGAACUUCAUCAUGCAGCAAGCAAUGACCGGAAACACACUGGCAACACAACAAAGGGAGAAGAAGGGGAAGGCUUUCGACUGUCCAAGUCAAUCACCAGACCUUAACCAAACUGAGCAUGCAUUUCACCUCCUGAAGAGGAGAUUGAAGGGAAAAAAACCCCAAAACAAGCAACAACUGAAAAAGGCUGCAGUAAAAGGCUGGAAAGGCAUCACAAAAGAAGAAUGCAACAGUUUGGUGAUGGCAAUGGGUUGCAGGCUUGGUGCAGUUAUUGCAAGCAAGGGAUACGCUACCAAAUAUUAAGUGUUAUUUACUUAAAUACUCUCUGUUCUAAUAUUUUUGUUCACCUAAAAAUUGGGUGUUCUGAUUCCAAAGGUGCCAUGUUCUACGUAUGUGACAAAGUAGGUGAGAACACACCAUUUGUCCCCAUUGCCAUCAUCAUUGCCAUUUGAAUUGUUUGUUAGCCAUAAUUCCAUCACUUAUUUGCAUUAUGUUUCAUUACAGUUCACAUAACAUCAGCAUCUCUGGGUAAAGGAAAAUACUGACAAGUAUUAUAAGUUUAGUUAAUUGUUUCUUGGGUUAGUUCUAUGUUUCAUAAGUUAAUUACGGUCUUCUUUGUUUCCAAUCCUAACAUACUCACCAUGUGGUCCAGAGGCAAAAGGAGGAAGCAGCCAAACACUUCCUGUAUUUGUAUCCUAGGUGACAUCAUGAGUGAUGUCACGGGACCAGACCAAGUAUGGGGGGGGUAGGAAAUGUUUAGUAAGUUAUGUAUGUAUAUUGAUUGUGAUUUGUUUAUGUGAUUACAGAUAUAUGUUAUAUAGUAAGCCAUGUGAACGGUUUCGGUUGGGCUAAAUGAGGACAAGGAAUGGUUAAUAAUUGUAUCACUUACCUGUGUUCAGGAGAGACACCUGCGGGACUGGUAUAACCUAGAUUGUCUGGGUUUGGGGUUGAUUGAAGGCCUAUUUAAAGAGUUGCUGUUUAGCUGCUGGGGAGGUGGGACGUCAGUAUGUAGCUGGGUACACGUGAUGUUGUUAUGGGCUGUUAGUAUGAUCUGAAGUUUUGUUCAGUUAAGCCAAGUUACUGGUUAAUUUCUUCUUCUUUUUUUUUUUUUUGUGUUUUAUAUAUAUAUUUUUGGUUGC